GAUCUGCAGCAGUGGGGAAUAUUGGACAAUGGGGGCAACCCCUGAUCCAGCGAUGCCGCGUGAGUGAUGAAGGCCUUAGGGUUGUAAAACUCUUUCAGAUGGGAAGAUAAUGACGGUACCAUCAGAAGAAGCUCCGGCUAACUCCGUGCCAGCAGCCGCGGUAAUACGGAGGGAGCUAGCGUUGUUCGGAAUUACUGGGCGUAAAGCGCGCGUAGGCGGCUUGGCAAGUUGGGGGUGAAAUCCCGGGGCUUAACCUCGGAACUGCCUCCAAAACUGCUAAGCUAGAAUCCUGGAGAGGUGAGUGGAAUUCCUAGUGUAGAGGUGAAAUUCGUAGAUAUUAGGAAGAACACCAGUGGCGAAGGCGGCA
rnacentral:rRNA from 1 species